rnacentral:sRNA from 1 species
CAAUAAGUACUCAGGGGAAGGUGAAAACCUUCGACAAGGUUCGAGCCGAGCGUAGCGAGACAGCGACCCGAAGGGUGAGGAACAAUGUGACGAAUAAUCCUUCCCCCACCACCA